rnacentral:rRNA from 1 species
UGGCGAACGGGUGAGUAACACGUGGGUGAUCUGCCCUGCACUUCGGGAUAAGCCUGGGAAACUGGGUCUAAUACCGGAUAGGAGCGCCUACCGCAUGGUGGGUGUUGGAAAGAUUUAUCGGUUUUGGAUGGACUCGCGGCCUAUCAGCUUGUUGGUGAGGUAAUGGCUCACCAAGGCGACGACGGGUAGCCGGCCUGAGAGGGUGACCGGCCACACUGGGACUGAGACACGGCCCAG